rnacentral:tRNA from 1 species
ACCUAAGUAGUUUAAUCAAGAAUUAUAAUUUGUGGUGUUGUAGGUAUAUUUUUAUCUUAGGUC